CAGCAGCCCGAGUGGUGGUCGUUUUUAUUGGGCCUAAAGCGUCCGUAGCCGGUCUAGUAAAUCCUUGGAUAAAUCGUACAGCUUAACUGUACGGCUCCCGGGGAGACUGCUAGACUUGGGACUGGGAGAGGUCGGAGGUACUCCAGGGGUAGGGGUGAAAUCUUGUAAUCCUUGGGGGACCACCAGUGGCGAAGGCGUCCGACUAGAACGGGUCCGACGGUAAGGGACGAAACCCUGGGGCGCGAACCGGAUUAGAGACCCGUGUAGUCC
rnacentral:rRNA from 1 species